AUACGUAGGUGGCAAGCGUUGUCCGGAAUUAUUGGGCGUAAAGCGCAUGUAGGCGGUAAUUUAAGUCUGUCGUGAAACUGCGGGGCUCAGCCCCGUAUGGCGAUGGAAACUGGGUUACUUGAGGGCAGGAGAGGAAAGGGGAACUCCCAGUGUAGCGGGGAAAUGCGUAGAUAUUGGGAAGAACACCGGUGGCGAAGGCGCCUUUCUGGACUGUGUCUGACGCUGAGAUGCGAAAGCCAGGGUAGCGAACGGGAUUAGAUACCCCGGUAGUCCUGGCCGUAAACGAUGGGUACUAGGUGUGGGAGGUAUCGACCCCUUCCGUGCCGGAGUUAACGCAAUAAGUACCCCGCCUGGGGAGUACGGCCGCAAGGCUUAAACUCAAAUGAAUUGACGGGG
rnacentral:rRNA from 1 species